rnacentral:rRNA from 1 species
AUGCAGGUGAAUUGGGACCAGAAGUGGCUUUCAUUCGAGCAUCUGGGCCAACGGAUUCUUCUCCAAGGGCAUCCCCCUGCUGUGUUCGAUCUUACUGUUGUUGAGCUCCAGUUAGUUCAAGGGCAACAAAAUCCAGAGCUUCCUGAUGAAAUUCAAUGCCUACUGGAUGGGUUCUCCGAAGUGUUUGAGGCUCCAACUGGACUUCCGCCUCGUCGUGCUUGCGAUCACAAGAUUCCGUUGAUUCCCGGCGCACAGCCAGUGAACAUCCGGCCGUAUCGUUUUUCUCCUGAACUCAAGACUGAAAUCGAGAGGCAGAUCGCAGAAAUG